AUUGAACGCUGGCGGAAUGCUUUACACAUGCAAGUCGAGCGGCAGCGCGGGGCAACCUGGCGGCGAGCGGCGAACGGGUGAGUAAUACAUCGGAACGUGCCCAGACGUGGGGGAUAACUACUCGAAAGAGUGGCUAAUACCGCAUACGAUCUAAGGAUGAAAGCGGGGGAUCGCAAGACCUCGCGCGUUUGGAGCGGCCGAUGGCAGAUUAGGUAGUUGGUGGGGUAAAGGCUUACCAAGCCCGCGAUCUGUAGCUGGUCUGAGAGGAUGAUCAGCCACACUGGGACUGAGACACGGCCCAGACUCCUACGGGAGGCAGCAGUGGGGAAUUUUGGACAAUGGGCGAAAGCCUGAUCCAGCCAUUCCGCGUGCAGGAUGAAGGCCCUCGGGUUGUAAACUGCUUUUGUACAGAACGAAAAAGCUCUUUCUAAUACAGAGAGUCCAUGACGGUACUGUAAGAAUAAGCACCGGCUAACUACGUGCCAGCACG
rnacentral:rRNA from 1 species